GUUUGACCUGGCUCAGGAUGAACGCUGGCGGCGUGCUUAAUACAUGCAAGUCGAACGGAGAGGUAUAGCGAUAUAGCUCUUAGUGGCGAACGGGUGAGUAACGCGUUGGUGACCUGUCCCGAAGAGAGGGAUAACAGCUCGAAAGGGCUGCUAAUACCGCAUAAUCUGUAAGCGGUUAGAGGCGUUUACAGGAAAGCAGCAAUGCGCUUUGGGAGGGGCCUGCGUCCCAUCAGCUAGUUGGUAAGGUAAAGGCUUACCAAGGCGACGACGGGUAGGGGGCCUGAGAGGGUGAUCCCCCACACUGGCACUGAAACACGGGCCAGACACCUACGGGUGGCAGCAGUAGGGAAUAUUGCACAAUGGGCGAAAGCCUGAUGCAGCAACGCCGCGUGCGCGAUGAAGGCCUUCGGGUCGUAAAGCGCUUUUCGGGGAGACGAGGAAGGACGGUAUCCCCGGAAUAAGGAUCGGCUAACUACGUGCCAGCAGCCGCGGUAAAACGUAGGAUCCGAGCGUUAUCCGAAUUCACUGGGCGUAAAGCGCGUGCAGGCGGUCUGAUAAGUUGGAUGUGAAAUCUCCUGGCUCAACUAGGAGAGGCCGUUCAAUACUGUUGGACUAGAGGGCAGUAGAGGGAGGUGGAAUUCCCGGUGUAGUGGUGAAAUGCGUAGAUAUCGGGAGGAACACCAGUGGCGAAGGCGGCCUCCUGGACUGUACCUGACGCUCAGACGCGAAAGCUAGGGGAGCAAACGGGAUUAGAAACCCCGGUAGUCCUAGCUGUAAACGAUGUAGACUGGGUGUUGGUGGGGUAAAAUCCGCCGGUGCCGAAGCAAACGCGAUAAGUCUACCGCCUGGGGACUACGGGCCGCAAGGUUUAAAACUCAAAGGGAAUUUGACG
rnacentral:rRNA from 1 species